GCCUGGGUGGCUCAGUCGUUAAGCGUCUGACUUUGGCUCAGGUCAUGAUCUCACGGUUCGUGGGUUGAAAUCCCACUUAGGGCU
rnacentral:tRNA from 1 species